rnacentral:misc_RNA from 1 species
AUCAUUGUAUUCCUGCACAAAAGUGAAAAAAAUACAAGUAUGAUGCCCAACAAUAAUACAAAGAUGAAAUAUUAUAUCAUUAGCAUCUCCAAACUAAAUAUACCAAAGGCAGAAACAUUAAAAUGUUUACCCUAGAUAAACCAAACAAUGCCAGACAUUGGCUAUCUCGUGAACAAUAACAAUUUAUCAUCAAAAGCAUUUUAUUCAGAAACUGCAAUCAGUUUGACGCCAAGCAAAGACAUCUUUAAUUCAUUAUCCAUCUUUUCAUCAUCAAGCUUCAACACUACAAUUGAUCACUACUACUCAUCCUCAUGCAUGCAUAAUGUUGAAAGUCUGAAACCAAUUGACACUGCUUCGUGGUUUAACUGUCAACAUGAAGUUAAAAGACCAAAAGAAGCUGGUUUGGCCAUGAAGUUGAGAGUACUCUAGUACAAGGUUGGCUGACAGUUGAUACAGUGAGGGAGAAAUAGAAAGUUUAGGAAUGGGCUUGGUUUUCAGCAUAUCAUACAUUCUACUCUUAUUUAUCAUCUCUCUCUUCCUGUAAUCAACAAACUAAUUCCUUCUACAUGGACAAAAUUCUCAUUUCUUUCACUUAUAUAGACUGACUAUUCUUUUAAAUUCAGUCUCACGCAAGAUUUUUCCACCAUCACAACAAGAUACAUAUUUGCCAAGUGGUAUCACUUCUUUAAGAAAGGGGUUCUGCAGAUUAGAAGUUAAAUUAUGGAUAGAAAAAUGAUGCAAAUACCCACUAUGAUUAUGAAUAAAAUUUUUAACACAUUGACCAAAUAAGUAAUAAAUAGCACAACUCACCAUCAAGAAAUCAUCUUG